rnacentral:tmRNA from 1 species
UCACUUCACAUUAAGCUGGCGGGGCCUAUAUAGGGCCUGCCGGUUUCGGCCGGCUAUGGCGAUAAAUUGCGGUGUGCAAUAGGCACAACGGACCCGGGGGCAGUACCCGGCGGCUCCACCACCGCAAGCGACGGACCGAAUGAUCGGGCGCUUGCGAUGAUGGGGCCGAACCAGGAUCGACGUGUGUUGAAAGACAUUGUUUUCGCCCGGGCUGAGUAACCCGUUCAAGGCUCAAAACACACAAGUGCCAACGAUAACGAAGCACUCGCUCUCGCAGCGUAAUGUGAUGGGCUAACGCCCUGAAGUUACAAAGCUAAAGCGCGGUUGGACCCACCGGGCAACAGAAGCGGAUUCCG